AUGCUAAAUGUGAAUUUUCCUUUUCAGCACCCUCACUGCUUUGGAAACAGCCUGCUCCAGAUUACAGGGAAACAUCAGAGAGGGAAUUUCACUUGUGCAGAACUGGGACAAUCUGCUGGCUGUGAGGAGCUCCUGGAUGAUGUUUGUGCCUGGAGACGGCAGAGGUGUUUUGUGUCCCUCUCCCCGUGCUGGGCUGUGCUCCUGUGCCACCCCAGAACAGGAAUUUCAGCUGGAACCUCUUUUGUGCAGCCCACUGCCCAGGGCUGCUGCACUCUGGGGCUGCAGGUGGAGAAGGAGCCAGGAGGAAGCAGAAAAAGCAGCAGAAAUCCCCAGGAACCAGAGGAUGUCCUCCCUGCUCAGCUGAGGGGAGCUAUGAUCCUGCUGACAGAACUUUUGUCUCAGCAGGUGGAAGGAACACAGAAAAUAGGCCAGGCCAUGACCGAGUCUGAUGAUCUGUGCUUCAGAUCUGUCCUUUUUGAAGAUGGGUUUUAGAAAUUCACUUCCAGCCAUCCAGACAUCCCUUUCUACCCCUUUGAAGAGAGGUGCUAGGCAGAUGAAGAUGCCUGAAAAGGACUUUAGUAGUGGUUUGUAUCACUCAGCAAUGCUGGCAUAAAUCAGAUUAUUGCUGUAGACAUCAGUGUUUGAAGGGCACUGACAGCAGAGUUUCAAAGGGAGGUGAUUUGCAUCACCAGAAAAAGAUGUUUUCCCUCUCUUUGGGUAGAUGUGUGUUUACUGCAGCCCUGCACUUUUCACCUGGAGCUGCUCUGAGCUGGCUGCAGCCCCUGGAUGUUUCUCCAUGGCAUGAAUCAUUGGAGAGAUUUGAGAUACAGCUGUUAUCAAACCCCCACACUUCAGAUGGGUUUCAGUUGGCGUGGAGCUGUUUUACCAGUUUAAUCUGCACGGGAGAAACUCUCCUGUUGCUUGUGAAACACUCUGAAAUCCUCCGGCAGUGUUGCAGGGAGAGAGAGCACAAGGGUGAUGAGCAAAGUGCUUCUGAGAACCAGAUAAUCUGUCCUGGCCACGGACAUAUUUUCUGAAAAAUCCUUUUGCUAGGUUUCUUCUCCUCAGAAACCAAAUAUAAGCAAUGGUUAUC
rnacentral:lncRNA from 1 species